rnacentral:tRNA from 1 species
CAAAGAAUAGUUUAACUGAGAAUUCUGGUUUUGGGGGCCAGUGGUGGGAGUUAAAAUCUCCUUUCUUUGA